AACGUUUGGCAACGGAUCUCUUUGUUCUGGCAUCGAUGAAGAACGCAGCGAAAUGCGAUAAGUAAUGUGAAUUGCAGAAUUCAGUGAAUCAUCGAAUCUUUGAACGCACAUUGCGCCCUCUGGUAUUCCAGGGGGCAUGCCUGUUCGAGCGUCAUUACAACCCUCACGCCCUGCGUGGUAUUGGGCUCGCCCUCCAGGGCUUGCCUCAAAGUCAGUGGCGGCACCGUCUGACCCCUAAGCGUAGUAAUACACCUCGCUUUUGGACGCUAGAUGGAGGCUCGCCAUGAACCCCCCACUCUAUAGGUUGACCUCGGAUCAGGUAGGGAUACCCGCUGAACUUAAGCAUAUCAAUAAGCGGAGGCU
rnacentral:misc_RNA from 2 species